rnacentral:rRNA from 1 species
ACGGGGAGCAGCAGGCGCGAAACCUUUACACUGUACGCAAGUGCGAUGAGGGGACUCCGAGUGUGAAGGCAUAGAGCCUUCACUUUUGUACACCGUAAGGUGGUGCACGAAUAAGGGCUGGGCAAGACCGGUGCCAGCCGCCGCGGUAAUACCGGCAGCCCGAGUGAUGGCCGAUAUUAUUGGGCCUAAAGCGUCCGUAGCUGGCCGGACAAGUCUGUCGGGAAAUCCACCCGCUCAACGGGUGGGCGUCCGGCGGAAACUGUGCGGCUUGGGACAGGAAGGCUCGAGGGGUACGUUCGGGGUAGGAGUGAAAUCCUGUAAUCCUGAACGGACCACCGAUAGCGAAAGCAUGUUGGGAAGACGGAUCCGACGGUGAGGGACGAAAGCCAGGGUUUCGAACCGGAUUAGAUACCCGGGUAGUCCUGGCCGUAAACGAUGUCUGCUAGGUGUGGCUCCCACUACGAGUGGGUGCUGUGCCGUAGGGAAGCCGCUAAGCAGACCGCCUGGGAAGUACGUCCGCAAGGAUGAAACUUAAAGGAAUUGGCGGGGGAGCAC